GACGAACGCUGGCGGCGCGCUUAACACAUGCAAGUCGAGCGAGAACCAGGGCUUCGGCCCUGGGGACAGCGGCGAACGGGUGAGUAACACGUGGGUAAUCUGCCCUCGGCACCGGAAUAGCCCGGGGAAACCCGGAUUAAUGCCGGAUGGCCCCUUCACCUCGCGAGGUGUCGGGAAAAGGUAGCUUCGGCCUCGGGCCGAGGAUGAGCCGGCGGCGGAUUAGCUUGUUGGGGGGGUAACGGCCCACCGAGGCGACGAUCCGUAGCUGGUCUGAGAGGACGAUCAGCCACACUGGGACGGAGACACGGCCCAGACUCCUACGGGAGGCAGCAGUGGGGAGUCUUGCGCAAUGGGCGAAAGCCUGACGCAGCGACGCCGCGUGAGGGAAGAAGGCCUUCGGGUUGUAAACCUCUUGCAGGAGGGACGAAGCUACUCGGGUGAAUAGCCCAGAGGGUGACGGUACCUCCAGAAGAAGCCCCGGCUAACUACGUGCCAGCCGCCGCCGUAA
rnacentral:rRNA from 1 species